rnacentral:rRNA from 1 species
CAGCCGCCGCGGUAAUUCGUAGGGGGCGAGCGUUACCCGGAUUCACUGGGCGUAAAGGGGGUGUAGGCGGCUCGGUAAGUCGGGUGUGAAAUCCCACGGCUCAACCGUGGAAUUGCGCCCGAAACUGCCGAGCUUGGGGCCGGUAGAGGGAGACGGAACUGCCGGUGUAGGGGUGAAAUCCGUAGAUAUCGGCAGGAACGCCGGUGGGGAAGCCGGUCUCCUGGGCCGCGCCCGACGCGGAGGCCCGAAAGCUAGGGGAGCAAACCGGAUUAGAUACCCGGGUAGUCCUAGCCGUAAACGAUGCCCACUAGGUGUGGGGGAGUAUUUCCUCCGUGCUGUAGCUAACGCGUUAAGUGGGCCGCCUGGGGAGUACGCCCGCAAGGGUGAAACUUAAAGGAAUUGGCGGG